UACGGAGGGUGCAAGCGUUAUCCGGAUUCACUGGGUUUAAAGGGUGCGUAGGUGGGCAGGUAAGUCCGUGGUGAAAUCUCUGAGCUUAACUCAGAAACUGCCGUGGAUACUAUUUGUCUUGAAUGUUGUGGAGGUGAGCGGAAUAUGUCAUGUAGCGGUGAAAUGCUUAGAUAUGACAUAGAACACCAAUUGCGAAGGCAGCUCACUACACAAUUAUUGACGCUGAGGCACGAAAGCGUGGGGGAUCAAACAGG
rnacentral:rRNA from 1 species